rnacentral:rRNA from 1 species
CGUACGGACCGUAGUAGCAAUAUGCGGUUAGUGGCGAAAGGGUGAGUAAUGCAUGGGUAACGUACCUCGAACUCGGGAUAACAGCGGCCCGCAAGGGCCUUAGCGAAGUGCUGCUAAUACCCGAUGAAGUCGCUGGGUUGCAUGACCUGGCGACCAAAGGCGGGGACCCGCAAGGGCCUGUCGGUUUGGGAGCGGCCCAUGUCCUAUCAGCUAGUUGGCGAGGUAAUGGCUCACCAAGGCAACGACGGGUAGCCGGACUGAGAGGUCGACCGGCCACAUCGGGACUGAGACACUGCCCGGACACCUACGGGUGGCUGCAGUAACGAAUAUUGGGCAAUGGGCGCAAGCCUGACCCAGCGACGCCGCGUGCAGGAGGAAGUUCCCUUCGGGAUGUAAACUGCUGUCAGGGGCUAACAAGCAAAGGAGCCUAAUACGCUCUGGCGUUGAGUCGCCCCAAAGGAAGCCUCGACUAACUCUGUGCCAGCCGCUGC